CCGUGAUGCAACUCAUGUCAAUGGCGACAGCUCUAAUCGGCAGCUCACCAGGUGGAACCACCCUCUGAAGGGACCUUUCUGGCCGGCCCCUAACCUACAGGAACUUGUAGAGAGCGCUUCCGAAGCGCAUACCGGCAAGUCUAAUGAUGUGCUUGUGAUGUGCUGCCUAACACCGGUUCAAUGGUGUCCUUAGAUGCAUUACAACUGAGAACAAAAUAGUGACCCAAGUUGGCACAGGGUAGGCUGGUGGACUACUGUUUUCAUAACUAACUUCUAGCAUAUGGCUAAUAAAAAGAAUUGGGGGCGUUGAAGCCAAGAGUUCAGUGGAGUAAAUUAAUGGGGAAGGACUAGUCUUGCAAAUCAAGUCUUGAUGGACACUUGCAGUUGGUAAACAUUUAAAUGGUGAUAGAGCUCCUCUAAGUUCCACAUUCUUUUGAGAUUAGAGUUCUGUACAUUAUCCUGAAAAUCCAGAAUGAAUGAAUGCUUUCCUGAAGGAUUAUAGCAUGACCCCUCUCCAUUCUACGUGUAAUAUUUUGCACACCC